GUGAUUUCUUAUAUAAGGAAGAUAAUAUUAUCAGUAGCCAGACUUUAUUAAAAAAAUCAGCUCUACCUCAAAGGAUUUCUGAUGCACUGGUUAAAAACACAGCAGCCGAUAAUUCAGUUAAUUUACCAAAUGAUUUACUCUUCAAAGCUGCAGGGGUAGUUUUCCUGAAGAGUGCAAAAACUUCUUUAGCUUCCAAAAUGGUAUAUAGUACAAACAGUGAAGCUAAUAUAGACAAAUCUGAUCAUUCAUCAUCAACAAUAACUGCAUCUGAGAUUAAUAGUUACCGUGGGGUCUAGGUCAACAAUUACUAUUUCUCAUCCAAGCCGUUUUUGUUUAACCGCUACACAUUCCCUGACUCUGCCAAGGAAAAGGUAAUAAUACACUCAGAAUAGACUACUAGUUUUAUGUCAUGUAUCAUCCUAUUCUAUAUAUCUUAUUUAGAACUGAUACAGUAUUUUAUUGUAUUAUAUUUGUUUAAUUAAAUUCUUAGGUAAGCUUUGUUUUUUAGUAUAAAUUAAUAUGAUAUAAUAAUUGGUAUUAGGUAUUAUAUAGGUCACUGUUAAAUGUCUCAAAACCAUUGUACAGGCUAAAUACUCAUAAUAGAAAUCUUAUAACCUAUAAAAAACCUGCAACAUCUUCACAAUUUGAACAUCCUUGUAGUUUUAACUCUUUCCGCUGAAGCAAUACUGUCCCUUUGAAAAAGUCAGCACCAUAGAAGUAUAUAUUAUGUGAUAUAAAGUAAGUUAUAUAAAACUGAGUUUUGUCCAAUAUAACAAUAACAAUAAAAUUAUGCAAAAUAAUAAAAAUUUGUGUCUUAAAA
rnacentral:lncRNA from 1 species